GGAUUUCCACAGAUUCCGAUUAUUUGCUCGAGUUGACUGAGGGUGACAGUCGUCAAUCGGACAGUGCUGGCCAAGAUGCAGGGAGUACAGAACAGAUUGGUGAAUGCCCUAUCUCAUUUCCAGGUGCACCGCUUUCAUCAGCUGGUGCCGGAGGCUUUCCAGGACUUUAGGAAGCAGACACUCCACAGGAUCCCUGCUGGGACAAACUUCUCAACAACACAAUAUAAAAGAUUACUAGAUGGAAUACAAAAGAUUACUCGCUUGAAUACAAGUUCAGUUCAUUAUUAUUGCAUUUCCAAUCAGCAUUAUCAUAAAUUCUAAAGAAUGAAACAGUUAGAAUUUUUCAAGACAGCAUUUUGAAAAUCUUUGUUUAGAUGUAUUUUAGAUAUUUUUUACAGUUAGCAUGAUAACAAUGGCCACCAUCUUGUCCCAGAAACAAUGCAAUAUCCAUGCAUUCUUGGGGGUGUGGGGGGAAAGCCACAAUUGAAAUCAAAUCCUCUGUCACAAUAGGCAUGGGCAAAAAUAUGGUUUCAAAAAUAAAACAAAUAAAAUAACAUGAAAUCAAUAUAAUUAUGAAUAAAUAAAUGAUGAAUAGAGUUUUUAAUAUUGAAAACAAAUGGAAUAAUAAAAACAUUCUUGCACACUCCUAGUUUUAUUGGAAUAUAAACAAAUAUUAAGAGGUUUUAAAUAGCAAAGUGCUUUGAAGUCUAAAGAAGUGCUGGAAAUGAAUGUUCUACUACACAACCCAACUGGAUAAAUAUUCUCUUAGUACAGCACAUUUUAAAUGGCCUAAAAAGUGCAAUGAAACACAGUAUGAACCUAUUUUUUCCAUCUGGAGACCUGGUUGACCUUUCUCAAAAAUAGCAGGUUAGCAAAGUUGCCCACAAUGUGAACAUGUUGUUAAUUAGCACACCAAAUAAACUUGCAGCCUUUGAUUCUGUUACUUCUCACUUGGUCUUCAUUCUGUAACACAUCAACACAUCUACAAAGAGAGGAAAAACAGCUGUUUUUCUCUUUAAGAGUCCAUAUACUAUAAACAAUGUGCCACUGAGGCCAAGUUUUCUAAAACUUGAGAGAUUUGAGACUAUGAGAUUUGGUGCACAGAACUUGAAAAUUGUUGCUAAAUUAUCUGCUUCAGCUGUAGGGAGUGACUGAAGCGGAUGCAUUAACUGUGGUUUCAGUGUCCUGAAAUGAACUUAAAACCAUUAGACUUAAAGUGCGUAUUAGUAGCGAAAGGACAGAUGGAUGACAUGGCUUUUUUAGCUAAGAGAAUGAAUGUAGUCCUGUUCAGACAUUAAGAUUAUGCACACACACAAUCCCAAGGGCAGGUGGAAGGGCACGUGCGUGGGGGGUAGUGGUGUUCACGGAACCGUCUGGCCCAGUUCCGUUC